rnacentral:rRNA from 1 species
GUACCUGCAGAAAAAGCGCCGGCUAACUACGUGCCAGCAGCGGCGGUAAUACGUAGGGCGCAAGCGUUAUCCGGAAUUAUUGGGCGUAAAGAGCUCGUAGGCGGUUUGUCGCGUCUGCUGUGAAAUCCCGAGGCUCAACCUCGGGCCUGCAGUGGGUACGGGCAGACUAGAGUGCGGUAGGGGAGAUUGGAAUUCCUGGUGUAGCGGUGGAAUGCGCAGAUAUCAGGAGGAACACCGAUGGCGAAGGCAGAUCUCUGGGCCGUAACUGACGCUGAGGAGCGAAAGGGUGGGGAGCAAACAGGCUUAGAUACCCUGGUAGUCCACCCCGUAAACGUUGGGAACUAGUUGUGGGGUCCAUUCCACGGAUUCCGUGACGCAGCUAACGCAUUAAGUUCCCCGCCUGGGGAGUACGGCCGCAAGGCUAAAACUCAAAGGAAUUGACGGGGACCCGCACAAGCGGCGGAGCAUGCGGAUUAAUUCGAUGCAACGCGAAGAACCUUACCAAGGCUUGACAUAUACGAGAACGGGCCAGAAAUGGUCAACUCUUUGGACACUCGUAAACAGGUGGUGCAUGGUUGUCGUCAGCUCGUGUCGUGAGAUGUUGGGUUAAGUCCCGCAACGAGCGCAACCCUCGUUCUAUGUUGCCAGCACGUAAUGGUGGGAACUCAUGGGAUACUGCCGGGGUCAACUCGGAGGAAGGUGGGGAUGACGUCAAAUCAUCAUGCCCCUUAUGUCUUGGGCUUCACGCAUGCUACAAUGGCCGGUACAAAGGGCUGCAAUACCGUGAGGUGGAGCGAAUCCCAAAAAGCCGGUCCCAGUUCGGAUUGAGGUCUGCAACUCGACCUCAUGAAGUCGGAGUCGCUAGUAAUCGCAGAUCAGCAACGCUGCGGUGAAUACGUUCCCGGGUCUUGUACACACCGCCCGUCAAGUCAUGAAAGUCGGUAACACCUGAAGCCGGUGGCCUAACCCUUGUGGAGGGAGCUGUCGAAGGUGG